UACGUAGGGUGCAGGCGUUAAUCGGAAUUACUGGGCGUAAGGCGUGCGCAGGCGGUUUGCUAAGACAGGUGUGAAAUCCCCGGGCUUAACCUGGGAACUGCGCUUGUUACUGGCAAGCUGGAGUGUGGCAGAGGGGGGUGGAAUUCCACGUGUAGCAGUGAAAUGCGUAGAGAUGUGGAGGAACACCGAUGGCGAAGGCAGCCCCCUGGGCUAACACUGACGCUCAUGCACGAAAGCGUGGGGAGCAAACAGG
rnacentral:rRNA from 1 species